UGGAGAGCAAAGCCUCCCUUCAGGUGGGAAGGAAACUCUGCAUUUCGUGAGCUGCCUGGACAAUGUGUGCCCACAGCUGUGUGGGAAGCUGGCAGGAGGGAAUAACAUUCCCAAGCAGCUGCAUCUCUGCUCUGAAGGAAUGACUGUCUGCAGGUUCAGACACUUCUUAGUUUGACCCUUCAGCUACUUUAAUAAAGCCUUCAGAGAAAAGCUGAG